UCUGGAGGAAGGAUGAUCGCUCCGAUUUCUCCGAUUUAAUCGGAGUUUAAUCGGAGAGGAAAGUCCAGGCAGCCGAAAGCAGGGUGUCCGCCGCAAGGUGGAGCGGGUAACCGCCAGUCAGAGCCACAGAAACUAUGUCGGCUCCGAUUACUUAAGAUGUAUCGGAGUACGAGUGAAAAGGGGCAAUCCUCCCCGCUGCAACCUCCGAUUGGAGCGCUAUCAGGUAGCUUUCCCGAGCUCCUAGGUUUGAGGGCUUAGAUAGAUGAUCGUCUAGAAACAGAACCUGGCUUAUUAGCCUCCAGAAUAU
rnacentral:RNase_P_RNA from 1 species